UAGAUGAGGAUGAAGCAAUGAUAAAUAUAAUCCAACACUUGAUCUGAGAUAUUCGUUAUCAAAUGAAUGCUAUUAUUAUCUUCUGAAUCUGC